CCUUACAAAGGGAAACGGCC
rnacentral:sRNA from 1 species